GUGAACGCUGGCGGUAGGCCUAACACAUGCAAGUCGAACGGCAGCACAGUAAGAGCUUGCUCUUACGGGUGGCGAGUGGCGGUCGGGUGAGGAAUACAUCGGAAUCUACUUUUUCGUGGGGGAUAACGUAGGGAAACUUACGCUAAUACCGCAUACGACCUACGGGUGAAAGCAGGGGAUCUUCGGACCUUGCGCGAUUGAAUGAGCCGAUGUCGGAUUAGCUAGUUGGCGGGGUAAAGGCCCACCAAGGCGACGAUCCGUAGCUGGUCUGAGAGGAUGAUCAGCCACACUGGAACUGAGACACGGUCCAGACUCCUACGGGAGGCAGCAGUGGGGAAUAUUGGACAAUGGGCGCAAGCCUGAUCCAGCCAUACCGCGUGGGUGAAGAAGGCCUUCGGGUUGUAAAGCCCUUUUGUUGGGAAAGAAAAGCAGCAGGUUAAUACCCCGCUGUUCUGACGGUACCCAAAGAAUAAGCACCGGCUAACUUCGUG
rnacentral:rRNA from 1 species